GAAAACUCGUGACUCGGGCCGCCGGGGCUGUGAGGUGGUGAGACCAGCAAGGCUCGGGGGAGGCGGAAGUGCCUUGACUUAAAGCAGCCUUCCCCGCCUGGCCUUUGGGGCUGCCCUGACCCUGGACUGCCACCUCUGAAGAGACUCAAGUGCCAAAGCCGGAGAGGGUAAUAGGAAAGGAUGACCAUGAGAGAGUCCAGAGAAGACAACUGUUGGAUGCUCACCGCCGCAGUAGCUGAGGGACAGACAGCACUCACUCCUGAAAGUAAAUGGAUACAGCUGAAGACAAGCGUGGAGUCAAUUCAGAGAUAGCAGGAGGAGAAGAAGAGGGAGAAGGACAAGCAGACUCUGCACUGAGCAUGGAGCCCCACCCAGGGCUCGAUCCCACAACCCUGAGAUCAUGACCUGAGCUGAAACCAAGAGUUGGACUCUCAACCAACUGAACCACCCAGGCGCCCCUGCUUGGAACACUUUUAUUGAUCAAUGUAUCAUACUUCUUUGUAACAAAAACAUGUAAUAUAAAUAUAAUUGACUUUUUAAAAAUAUCCCAUAACCAUAAGGCUCUGUUAAAAUUUUGUUUUGGAUUGACAUAAUUACUAGUAGUAUACAUUUAAUCAAAACAGCAAAGUAUACCAGAAAAUGUCAUAAUUAUUAAAUACAAAACAAAAUUUUAUUAGAAAUUCCUGUCUUAAAGAGCUAGAUGGGCUUGUAUUAUCUAUUGCUGUGUAAUAAAUUAUCUUAAAACUUA